rnacentral:rRNA from 1 species
CUGCUGCCUCCCGUAGGAGUUUGGGCCGUGUCUCAGUCCCAAUGUGGCCGUCCACCCUCUCAGGCCGGCUACUGAUCGUCGCCUUGGUGGGCCGUUACCCCGCCAACAAGCUAAUCAGCCGCGGGUCCAUCUUACACCACCGGAGUUUUUCACACAAAUCCAUGCGGCUUCGUGCGCUUAUGCGGUAUUAGCACCUAUUUCUAAGUGUUAUCCCCCAGUGUAAGGCAGGUUACCCACGCGUUACUCACCCGUCCGCCACUAAGUA